rnacentral:lncRNA from 1 species
GAAGUGAAGGCCGAGACUUCGGCCCGGAAUGGACAAUGUUUGGGUUUGGAUCCGUCCGGUAGGAGGUCGCUCGGGGUUGGUGGCCCGCCUUGUUCUUGCUGGCGCCUCCCUUACCCCAGGGACGGUGUCCGCCCGUUUAUAUGCACCCCCUGAACGCGAGGGUCGGAGAUUCGCCCACGCCCCGUGUCGGCCACGCAUUCCCGUGGGGCGGCCGCGGGGUCGGCCCAAGCUGAGAGUCAUGGCCGCUGUCCCCGAGGCGUUUAAGCGCUCUCUACAAAGUCUGUAGGGGAAGCUGCUCCCGUCGGGGUGGCAGUCACAAUCUCAGCAGGCAACGUUGAGGCCCACGGAAGGAAGGGGCGAGGUGUCCAUGCUCCUGCCAGGGACUGGAGCACCGUGAGCAGCCUCCCGAGUCUCGCACUCUCACUUGCAAAACCCUGCACUGACUGCUUGGUUCUUGGGGGAGCCGGUAAUCGCGGGGCGACUUCCCAAAAUUCUUUAAGGGGUGUGCUUAGUUACCAUGUGUAAUGAGAGAGCAAGGUUCAGCCUCAGAGAGCUCCAGGGAGAGCUAAUCUUUUUCAUUCGUUUGUGGUAUAUGGAACUGGGGAGAGGCUGGAACAGCAAUUAGAAACCAGUCGUACAGCUGUCGAAGCCAAUGAACGAGCACUUCUUUUAGCAGCUGUACCUUUGUCCAGUGUCAAUGCCUUUUCACACGUAAACAUUUCACUUGCUCGGCAUCUUACCCAGACCCCUAAUAAGUGCUUUUUAAUGAACGAUUGGUUUUAAUAAACCGUGGUGAGCCAGACAUAUAAUGUUGAACAGAAGUCCUCUCACACCCAUAACCACUAGAGGGCAGGGCUUCACCUACUGAGUUGGUGAUCAUCCUACAGAGAACUCAAAAGAAAAUUUCCGUAUAUGCUAGAUGUGUUUUUCUCCAUCAACACUUAGACACUUUACAAAUUUGCUUUUUAUCUCAGGUCCUGUAACAUAUCGCAGUGUGCUCUCUAACCACACGUUCAACAUCAGAAUUAACGGACGGGGUUGCCUGUGUUUCUAUAUUUGUUCCCAAGUAAGUGGUACUAGACUAGGAUUGAAAAUUCUGGACAGCUUUCUAGAUUUACCUUUCUUUUAAGAAAUAUUGAACUUUUAUUCAGCGAGGUCACUUUUAAAGAUGAACCCAUAAAAAUCACUAUCAAGUAGAUUUCUAGUCUUAACGAGUUAACUAUGAUCCACCUCUGGCAUGCAUGGUCAGUGAUUUUUGUCUGCACAAUGACGGAGCCAAAUUAACGGACGGGGUUGCCUGUGCUUCUAUAUUUGUUCCCAAGUAAGUGGUACUAGACUAGGAUCGAAAAUUCUGGACGGUUUUUAGAUUUACCUUUCUUUUAAGAAAUAUUGAACUUUUAUUCAGCGAGGUCACUUUUAAAGAUGAACCCAUAAAAAUAUCAAGUAGAUUUCUAGUCUUAGGAGUUACUAUUUAUGAUCCACCUCUGGCAUGCAUGGUCAGUGAUUUUUGUCUACACAAUGACAUAGCCUGUGAUUUGUACAAUGAUUGUGAUCUCUCGUAAUCAAUUUGUAACAGUUAUUACUGUACAUAUUCGACCUUGAAACAGCAUUAUAUUAAAAACAAAAGCACCUAAGGUAGGAAAUUACACAAUAUAAAUACUUUGAUAUUAACAUAUGCAUUUACAAAAUAGAGGGUAACUGUACAGAAUUUGGUAUUGGGUCACUUUAGCUGAAACAUUUUUCUAAAGCAACUUUUCAGAACUAUCUGUUGUAUUAAUAUACUGCAAUACUCUAGCAUUAACACUGAAUCUAUAACUCCUCCAAAAGAUUUAUAGCUCCAUGGUUUAUUCCUAAAAUGACUUAAACUGAAAUUUUACUUUUGGUCCCCUAAAUUAUGAAAAUCAUUGUUCCUAUUACUAAGCCAAAAAAGAAACUGGUAAGAUCAAGAUCAACUUUACCAAGAAGAAUUGACCAAUUAGUCAUUUUAUAUAAAAAACUUAAGCAUCUGGAAAUUUUGGUGUCUGAGGGGGUUCUGGAACCGAUCCCCUGUGGACAAUGAGGGAUGACUAUAUACAUAUAUAUGUCAUACACACACAUAUGUAUAUGUAUAGACAAACAUAUACACAUAUAUAUGUAUAUUCAUACACCCACAUAUACAUACACACUAGCCUUCUUUCAAAAGAUUUUUGUAAGAAUCUCAUAAAGUAAGUGAACACAGGUUGCAAAUUAUAAGCACUAUAGAAGUAUAAGAUUAUUAUAGAGAGAAUCAAGGAAAUCCCUGGAGUGUUAGCUAGCUACAAUGGGAUUGAUGGCAAUGAAACAUAUUAUUUCCAAGUUUCAGCUUAUUGCUUCCAUAGAAAUCAAAGCUCUAAAAAUUCUUUCUACUCUCCUUUUGUCCUGAAUAUUUAACCUACAAAAUUAAAUGCAUCUGAUGCAAAAAGUGGUCACGUGCAAGAAAGGGAAAUUUGUCAGGCUUUUCCGCUUGGGGGAAAUAUUACAAAUGGGAAAGAUUGAAGAAGAAUGGUCAUGACAUUCUAAUUUUCUUUAUACUGUGCUUUAUUCCACAAAGGGUGUGCGGUAUCUUGUUUUUAAUAUCAAAUUUGAUAGCUGCAUUUUUAUAAACCUGGAUGGUACAAGAAUAUGUGGUUCUUUAGGGAUUUAAAAAUUAAAACUUGGAAAAAAUUAUUUUAAAAUCUUUCCUCAAUUAAUUAAUGUCUUCUUUUAAAGGCUGUUUUAAUGUUGUUUAAAGUACCAGAGGUUAAUAGUUAAGAAAUUUCACCUAGCUGCUAGAAAAGAAAUUGUAAUUUUAUUUUAAGUUGAACAUUUUAUUUAUUUACUUACUAACUUAAGAGACAGAGUCUCUGUCGCUGAGGCUGGAGUGCAAUGAUGCCAUCAUAGCACACUGCAGUCUUGAACUCCUAGGCUCAAGAGAUCCUCUUGCCUCGGCCUACCAAUGUGCUUGGGAUUAGAGGCAUGAACCACCAUGCCUGGCAAAGUUGGACACGUUAAAAACAUAUAAAGAUGCAUCACUUUAUUUUUAUAAGCUAACCUACUCCAACAGAACAACAGAAGUAUUUUUCUUCUUAUAAGAUAAAGGACAUGCUAAAUGUCAAGUUUAGAAAACUAUAGUUUUAUUGCCAAGAGUGUUGUACGAAAUCAGUUCCUAACAAACAUCUACCAGAAUUGCUAUAAAUCUGCCUAGUUCCAUGUUUUGGCAGUGCUGGAAGAUUAAAAGUUGGAAGCAAGAAUAAAAAUUGAAGGACUCAUAUGAGCUACUUGUGUUUGGUUGGUUUUAAUAGCACCCAGAUCCAGAUCCCCAAGUACUCUACAAAUAUUUUAUCACUCACAAAAUUCCAUAGCCUCUUUCACACUUGCUAGCAUUUUAAACAUGAAAUAUUUGAUGAAACUGAGAUGAAAUGAGAGAACUUAUACUCUUAAUUUUUAUUGUUAAAGAAGUUUAUUUCAAGUAUGACAUAGUCUCUCCAUUCAUUGGCUCAGAUUCUGAGCCAGUGGUAAUAUUUGGGAUCUUAUAUACUACCAGUCUUCUGGAUUAGACAUGAGUGUCGAUGGGAUGCAUGUGAAAAUAAGAAAGAGGUAAGAGCAAAGUGAGUGUGAGUCCCAUGACCCAAGAGUACCAUGACCAAUGAACUUCAUCAUUUCCAUGGAAAACAGACAUACAAUAUUCCAAAUUAUAUAAACUACAGGAUUUGUUUUGAGAUACAAAGGUAUCCAUUUAAAUGAUAAUAUUCCACCUAGUUUCCAAACUAGCAUAAUUCACCUCUGGCCCCAAAACAUUUGACAGCAGUAAAUAUGUAAUAAAGACCUAUUAAAUAAAUGGAUAGCCUGAAAAAUGUUUAUCAUAAAUAUUUUUUGUUGAAUGAAUAACAAUCUACUUGUUUCCUAUGAUCAAACUAAAAUCCAAGCUCCUACUUUCCUGUAAAACCAAGAGGACUUAAGGGAUUUUUAAGAAGUUUAAGGGUUUCUGGUGCAUCUCACACCUGUAAUCCCAACAUUUUGGGAGGCUGAGGCAGGAAAAUUGUGUGAGCCCAGGAGUUCAAGACCAGGCUUGACCACAUAGUGAGAUCCUGUCUUUACAGAAAAUAAAAGCAUUAGCUGGGUGCAGUGGCACACACCUGUGGUCCCUGAUACUCAGGCAGCUGGGGUGGGAAGAUUGCUUAAGCCCAGGAGGUCAAAGCUGCAGUGAGCUGUAAUCAUGCCACUGCACUCCAGCCUGGGGGACAGAGCAAGAAACUGUCUCAAAAAAAAAAAAAAAAAAAAAAAAAGUUUAAAGAAUAAACCUACAUCUCCAAAAACCACAAAGGGGUUAACUAGGACAACAUUAUCUGAAUGGGAAUAAGUCCUAAUUGUUGUAAGAAAUGCUCGAUAUUGAGCACUGCCCAGAGCAGAUAAAAUUGCACACCCAGAUUUUGAGCCCAGGUAACCAUUUGAAAUUAAAAGAUAACAGUGUUGAGGUGCUUGUUUCCAUGCAUUUGAGAAAUUUUAGCUGAGCCUGUGCUUUUGAUUUUGAUGGCAUGAAUAUUAAUGCCUGACAAAAAGCAUUGUACACUAGGUCCUCGAAUAAGGUCAUUUUGUUCAACAUCAUUUCAUUAAAUGAUGAGAAAAAAACAUCAAUUACUGGUAGGGCCACUGUAUUGAGUUUGCACAUUCUCCCUGUGUCUACAUGGGUUUUCUCCAGGUAUUCUGGUUUCCUCUCAUAUCCCAAAGUUGUGCAUGUUAGGUUAAUUGGCGUGUCUAAAUUGUCCCAGUGUGAGUGAGUGUGUGUACAUGUGUACCCUGCAAUAGAAUGGCAUCCUGUCCAGGGUUGAUUCCUCCCUUGAGUGCUGAGCCGCUGGAUAGGCUCCAGCCACCUACAACCCGGAACUGGAAUAAUUGGGUAAAUAAUUACCUUAUUUGUUUUAUUAAUCUUUCUUAAAUGUAUGUAUAACUCACAUUUAUUUCAGUGUUUAAUAUUCGAAGUGUUUUGGAGAGCAGAGCAAGAUGGCGGAAUAGAAGCCUGUACCAUUGAUAACCCCCGACAGGAACAACACAUUUUAACAAAUAUCUGCAUACUGGAAAGUUUAACAACUAACUGCAUACCAUCACAAGAACCAAAAAUCAGAGCAAUCGGAGUACCUGGUUUUAUAUUCAUAUCACUGAAAGAAUCAUUGAAGAGAGUAGGAGAGACAGUCUUGAAUCACAGACACCACCCCUUCCCCAUAACCUAGCAGCAGCCCUGCUACACAGAGAGUAUAUGCACUUGGGGGAGGGAGAGUGCAGUGGCUAGUGGUCUUUCUAUUGAACUCAGUGCUGCCAUGUCACAGUGGAGAGCAAAGCCAUGCUGGGCUCAGCCAGCACUCAUGCAUGAAGGGAACAUUUGGACCAGACCUAGCCAGAGGGGAAUGGACCAUCCCAAUUGUCAGAACUUGAGUUUUUUGGCAAGCCUCACCACCAUAGGCCAAAGUGCUCUGGGGUUCUAGGUAAACUUGAAAGUCUGUCUAGGACACAGGGAUUGCAGUUCUUAGGCAACUUCUAGUGCUGGGCUGGGAUGGGCUUAGAGCCACUGGACUAGGGUGGUACAUGACCUGGGGAGACACUAGCCAGGGAAUCUAAGGGAGUGCUUGUGCCAUCCUUCCCCCAACCCCAGGCAGCACAGCUUGAAGCAACAAAAGUGACUCCUCUGCGUAUGAAGAGGAGAGCAAAGAAGACUUUGUUUUGCAUCUUGCAUACCAGCUCAGUCACAGUAGGAUAUGGCACUGGGCAGUCAUGAGGCCCCCAUGCUAGACCCUAACUCAUAGAUGACACGUCUAGACACACCAUGGGCCAAAAGGUAAACCGCUGCCUCGAAGGGAAGGAUCCACACCUGGCAGGAUUCAUCACCUGUGAAUAAAGAGCCUUUGGGUACUAAAUAAUCAGCCGCAAUACCCAGGUAGUGCAUCAUGGCAUGGGCCUUGGGUGAGACUCUGAGACGUGUCUUCAAGUGAGACCCAGAACAUUGCCAGCUGUGGUGGCUAUGGUGAGAGACUCCUCUUGCUAGAGAAAAGCAGAGGGGAAAGUAAAGAGGACUUAGUUUUGCACUUUAGAUACCAGCUCAGUCAGAGUGGGUUAGACCAACAAGUGGGCUCGUGAAGUCCCCAAUCCCAGGCCUAACCUCUUGGAUGGCAUUUCAUGACCUUCCCUGGGCCAGAGGGAAGCCCAGUGCCCUGAAGGGUAUGUCCAAGCCUGGCAGCAUUCACCACAAGCUGACUGAAGAUCCUUUGAACUUUAAGUGAAUACCAAUGGUGGUGUAGAAAACCACCCAUGGCCCAGUGAUAGUGGUUGCCACAGGGAGAGGCUCCUCUGCCUGUGGAAAGGGGAGGGAAGAGCAGGAAGGACUUUGUAUUGUGGUUUAAGUGCCAGCUUAGCUACAGUAGAAUAAAACGUCAGGUAGACAUACAAGGAUUUUUGACUGCAGUCCCUAGCUCCCAUACACCAUCUCUGGACCCACCCGGGGCUGUGGGGAACUCACUGCCCUGAAGGGAAAGACACCAACCUGGCUGGCUUCACCACCUGCUAAUGGUAGAGCCCUAGGGACUUGAGUGAACAUGGGUGGUACCCAGGUAGUGGUUACAGAAAGCCAUGGGCAAGACCUAGUGCUGUGCUGGCUUCAGGUCUGACCCAGCACAGUCCCAGUAGUGAGGGCCAGGGGGGUAGUAUGUCACUCUACCUGCAGCCCUAGGCAGCUCAGCACAGAGAGACUUCAUUUGUUUGGGAAAAAGUAAGGGUAAAGAACAAGAGUCUCUGCCUCAUAAUACAGAGAAUUCUUCAGGGUUUUAUCCAAGACCACCAAGGCAGUACCUCUACAAGUCUACAAGAACCACAACCUUACUAGGCUUGAGGUGCCCCCUCACGCAGCUAUGGCUUAGACCACAAUACCCUAGUUCUUUCAAAUACCUGAAAAACCUUCCCAAGGAGGAUGGGCACAAACAAGUCCAGACUGUGAAGACUACAAUAAAUACCUAACAUUUCAAUGCUUAGACACCAAUAAACAUCAAGACCAUCCAGGAAAACAUGACCUCACUAAAUGAACUAAAUAAGACACCAGGGAUCAAUCCAGG